CCGGACUGUCUGGGUCCCGAAGGAUCUGGGAUCUGAGCGGAAUCGAGUAGCAGGCCAACUUGUCAACGGAGCAGCGGCACACCUAAUGUGCUUUUGAUAGGCUCCGACUCCCGCAAACCCCUUGGGGUCUACCGCUCUAGCGCCUCCCCACCAGGAAGUCCGAAGGAUGUCCACUGCAGCGGUGGCGCCGGUUCUUGAUAAAUUAUCAUGUGAGCAGGAGCAGCAGCAGCGGAUGCGGCUGGCAGAUGCAGCAUAGAACUAACUAGAUGCUGCAGAGCUGCACCUGCCCGACAGAUGGGUUUUAAUCUAUUUUAAAUGUAUGUAACGGUAAUGGUACGGUGCGACCGGAUGAUGGUUCACAACGACCGUGUCCUUCGAACGGGUCGGUGGGACUUUCGUCCGUUUGUAACGCCAUUUGUCAGCGAUUUAUCAUCCGGCGAGCGGAUUAUUUAUGAUGGAGAUAUACACAUCCGCAUCUGUUCUGACUAUCGAAGAUAGUUGCAUUAAUUGAUUCGUAACGGCAUCCGGAUCAAAGUGAAUUUGUUAAGCCCGCUCAAAAUAAAUGAUACCGACUUUUAAA
rnacentral:sRNA from 1 species